CAGAGACUUGGAGGUUGGUUGCCCCUGACUUCCUCUCUCAUCUGCCUUGGAAAGGUUGUGGAAGAUUUACAACAUCUGGAAUCUGAAGGAGUUAAAAACUGGUUAGAUUGGAAAGAAGGAGAGUUACUGAGCAGCUCUCCAGCUCUCCUCUGGGGGCUGCUAGAGGGCAGCUGCUGGGAGAAACAGCUGGUGACUCAGACAGACAGUUGAUCUUUGACAGAAGGUGAACUCAGCUCUUGAAACCCCCAAAGAGAUGAUGGGAACAAAGCACUUUCUAAAUAUCAUCAUUCUGGCUAGACCAGACACUAGGAAAAUACUUGGAAUAGAAGUUGAGAGGCUCGGUGGUGGUGAUAGGAAGUUUGGCUUAUUCCUCCAUGGACAAGAACAAGUGGAUGGUAACAAAUGCUGAUGGUAUCACAAUUUUCAGAGAACUGUAGGAUAAAUUCCCAAGUUGCCUGAAGGGCUGAAUGACACCAAAUGAGUG
rnacentral:lncRNA from 1 species